rnacentral:sRNA from 1 species
GCAUUUGGGGAAAUGGGUUAAGCUAUUGUGAAAUUUCUUCAAGGAAUUAAGCUAGGAUAUCAUUUCAGUUACUUGUAGAAUUACUUUUCUCAUACCAGUUAUGAAAUGCUGCAAGAUAAUGUUGAAGGAUAUCGUCGAGAAAUAACAUCACUUCAUGAGAGAAAUCAGAAACUCACUGCCACAACUCAAAAGCAAGAACAGAUUAUCAAUACGAUGACUCAAGAUUUGAGAGGAGCAAAUGAGAAGCUAGCUGUCGCAGAAGUAAGAGCAGAAAAUUUGAAGAAGGAAAAGGAAAUGCUUAAAUUGUCUGAAGUUCGUCUUUCUCAGCAAAGAGAGUCUUUGUUAGCUGAACAAAGGGGGCAAAACUUACUGCUAACUAAUCUGCAAACAAUUCAGGUAACCAAAUAAAAAGCCUAUUUA